rnacentral:lncRNA from 7 species
AGAACCAAAGUGAGCUCAGAAGAGGAACUGAAGCUCAGGAUGGAGUUUCUCUGACUCAGUGUCUGCGAAUAACUCAUCCAGCUGAAAUGAUAAAGUACACCAGACUGAUGGAAAACAUAACAUAGACAGGUCAUCGAUACAGGCCUGGAGGCAUGAAUACCAAACACAGUGGGAAAAGUUCUGAAGUUUCUGUAACUAAAAGCUUCUAAAAAGUGCAUGGAAACCAAACUUUAUAAUCCUUUCAGUGCGUUUCUGAAUACAAUAGCUCCAGAGAAAGAAUUGUUGGCAGCAUCUAAGAGACCCAGUGUGUUUCAGAAGAUAUUUUGCAAGCAUCUCAAGAAUGGUUGGUCAGAUAAAGAAGUUAGGGGUAUUAGGAAUGUAUGCUCAAAGAGAACUUACAGCAGUACGGAAAAUGUAAAGACUGACUCAUUACGUAGAAUCAGUUGAGUGCUAAGUUGCUAGAGGCUGUUUAGUUUUCAAAAUUAAACAAAUUGGAGGAAGACAUAAGCAACUGGGAAGGGCAAGAAAGGAAGAACUGUUAAAUCACUGAUCUCAAAUCACUGAGACCAGAACUCCCAGUCUGGCAGCUUUGAGCUUUAAUUUUCAGCUUGUUGGUCUUUUCUUUUUGCAAUGUUUCUAUUACUGUAAUUUAUAAAUAGAAAUCAACCCAGACCCAAAGCAUUCUGAGAAAAGGUUUCAUAAUCUUGACAUUUUGUCUUCAAAUGUAACUUUUACACUGUGAAGAAAUAGUAUAAAAGACUUUUAAAGAAUGCGGUAUAUUUUGAGUUAGAGUUUCUUUCUGUCUUCUCUUCCUUCACAGUUUGGCUAAGGAAAAGUUAUUUCCCAAUUGAUUAAUGUCACACAAAAAAUAAUCCAUAAAAUCUGAGUAUUCCUAUGGAGAAGAGUGUAGCUGAUGCAGUUCAGAGCUAAAUGUGCUACAGCUGGGCUAUGCAAUGUUUUAUCCUGUCAGCACGUACUACAAAAUACAUGAUGGCUCCACUUAGUAAAAAACUGCAAACCCAACACGAGUGCGCUAGACAUAGCACUGAUCUAGUACCUGUGCAGUAGUGCUAUAUUGAGAAAGCCACUUUCAUGAGGAGGACCCCUUCCCUCCAGAGCUGCUGCUGUGUGAUGCACAAAGCAUUGACACCUCUUGGUGAAUGAGGGGGAAGGUCAUGCAGGAAGUGACAAAUGGAGUGGAAACGGACAUGUAAAAGCUGUGUAAGCAUGCAAUAGUUUUGAAGGCCUGAACUUUGAGCACUCACAGUAUUUACAGAUUUUCCAGGAGUUUAUGACAAAAAAGAGCAAACUGCUACUAUAGGUGUCACUUUAUUAGAAAGACUCUGUCCUUUUAUGACAAACAUUUUUGUAUAAGCAUAAUCUGUUAAACUGCCUAUUAUCUGACCACUGUGAUAUCAGAAUACCACGUUUUCCCUUUUUGUCCCUUUAGAAGAAAUUUUUAAGCUUUUUUUCCUCUCCCUUAGUAAACAAAUGAGUUCAUGAACUUCAUCCAUAAACAAGAUUGCUG